rnacentral:tRNA from 1 species
AGCAUCGCCUUGCCAAGGCGAGGGUCGCGGGUUCAAAUCCCGUUUCCCGCUCCA